AAUGUGAAAUCCACUUCAAACAUUAAAUUGUUCAAUAAUAUCCAAUACAUAAUUUGUAAAUCAUAUUAAAUCCAAAUAACAUCAACCUACACUACAUUGUAGUCAAGUUUCUACAAUUUACUAACGCUUAAAAUAAAAGAAGCCCACUUAGUUCUAAUGUCUUCAAUGUCUGGAGCUUCCAUUGGAGAUGAAUCAUCAAAGAUCUACAAAUAAAAUAAUUAAGUUAGAACANUUUUGUACUGAACAGUUAGAUAAGUAUUAAGUUAGUUUUUUAAUACCCCGACAAACACUUGGAAAUAAGAGAAGAAAAUCAUAACAAAUUAGGAAAAAACAACGUUAGAAAGUAUGUAGGUUAAAUAUAUGUUUUAGUCCUCAUAUUUGUUCUCCAUUCUCAAUUAGGUCCUCAUGUUUUUUUUUGUCCCAAUUGCAUCCUAAUAUUUGUAAAUUUUAGGCAAUUAAGCCCUUUCCGUUAACUGGCCACUAACGUCGUAGGCCAAUUGAGAGGGCUUAAUUGCCUCAAAUUUACAAAUAUUAGGAUGCAAUUGGGACAAAAAAAAAAACGGAGAGGACUUAAUUCCUCAAAUUUACAAAGAUUAGGAUGCAAUUGGGACAAAAAAAAAAACAUGAGGACCUAAUUGAGAAUGGAGAACAAAUAUGAGGACUAAAACAUAUAUUUAACCAAAGUAUGUAAAGGGAAAAGGUGAAAGCUUAUCCGUCCCUAGAUUGAUGAAUUUAAGUAUCCUAUAAAUUAAACAAUUUAAUGGUAGAUAGAUACUAAAUCUAAAAAACAUUUGAAUUCAGUGCUUCUGCCAGAAAUGUAAACUGUAAUGCAGUUUCCUCCCCUUCCAGUAGAGGCGAGUUAAUAGGUAUACGAGGAACUGAUCCAACUUCAAAGUUUUUAACUNGCUUCUCUAUUUUCAUUGAUUAUGCAGACAUUUAAGAGUUAAUAACAAAGAAUCAAUGUCAAAAAUCAAAGUUGCNAGUAAAUUUUACUAUUCAUUGGACUUUUUAAUGGAUCGAGCACCACUUUGCACCUUGCUUUCCCUCUGUUCUGUUAUAUAAAUAAUCAAAACACAAACAUAAAAGAAAUCAAAUAAAACUGUUCUUGCUUCACUGUACACCCCUUUCAAAUGAUUCCUGCUAUGUAGCAAAUGCUCUUAUUGAACUGAAGAAGGAAAUAAAUAAUAAGAGGGAAAUUAUACUAGUUAAUUUUAUAAAUAAAAUAAUUAGGAAUAAAAGUAUGGACAAUAUCUAUAUUUUUUAACUUAUUUUUCCAUUAUCUCUCUUGUUGCUUGUUACGUAAUAUAUAUAUAUAUAUAUAUAUAUAUAUAUAUAUAUAUAUAUAUAUAUAAAUUUUAAACGAUUAUUUAAAUUAUAAACUCAAAUAAAAAAAUUGAUCUUAAAAUUUAAUUUAAAUAAACAUCAAUAGAAUAAUUGUUCAUGUGACAAAAGAAAAUGAAAAUAAUUGAUGCAGCACAGGAUUUUCAAGUGCCAAAGAUAUUAUCAUUGGUCAUUUGAAAGACCUGCUAUGAUAUAUAGAACUAAAAUUGCUUAAGGUAUAAUAAAAACGAAACAAGAAAAAUCAUUGCAUGGUGCUUUUAAUCCUACACAUCGCCUAUUAUUUUCUACCCAUAGGUCCACAUAGGUCUCUUCAAGAUAAUAUUAUCUUCAGAAACCGAAAGGAUGUUUUUUCCCCUUGAAAGGCAUGAACCCAAAAGUGUUAUGAUCUUCCAGGAUCACUAAUAUUAUAUAAUAAGAAUAUUAUCCUAAAUCAAGAAUAAGAUAAAUACAAUAAAAUCAAAUUAAUGCAUCAUAAAUUAACAGUUUAGGUUAAAAAAAAGAUAAUCUCCACCCACCAAAAAUUUCAUAUUGGGGGUAAGUUAUCAACUAACCAGGUAAAGAAAAUAAGAAAAGAAAUGAAGAGAACAUACUCUGAUGGAACAAGUGGACUAUAAGCAAUACUUGAUUCCUUUAUCUCGCCAAGAACUAGAAUGCCUCCUCCAUCACCAUCUCCUUUCAAGCAAUGAAAGAAGACUUUGGGUGUUAUUCCGCGUGAUGACAACUG
rnacentral:lncRNA from 1 species